rnacentral:rRNA from 1 species
UACGUAUGUUCCAAGCGUUAUCCGGAUUUAUUGGGCGUAAAGCGAGCGCAGACGGUUAUUUAAGUCCGAAGUGAAAGCCCACAGCUUAACUGUGGAAGUGCUUUGGAAACUGGAUAACUUGAGUGCAGUAGAGGAGAGUGGAAUUCCAUGUGUAGCGGUGAAAUGCGUAGAUAUAUGGAGGAACACCAGUGGCGAAGGCGGCUCUCUGGACUGUAACUGACGUUGAGGCUCGAAAGUGUGGGUAGCAAACAGG